rnacentral:rRNA from 1 species
UAUGCUUGUCUCAAAGAUUAAGCCAUGCAUGUCUAAGUACAAGCUGUACGAGGCGAAACUGCGGGAUGGCUCAUUAAAUCAGUCAUAGGUUCCUUGGAUCGAGUUUCCCUUACAUGGAUAACUGUGGUAAUUCUAGAGCUAAUACAUGCCAAGAAGCGCCCGACCUUACGGAAGGCGUGCUUUUAUUAGGAUCAAGACCAACACGGGCUUGCCCGGCUUGUUGGUGAACUCUGGAUAACUUCGCAAGAUCGCAUUGUCAUCGAACAGGCGACAUUUCUUCAAACGUCUGACCUAUCAAUUUCGAUGGUACGAUAUGCGCCUACCAUGGUGCUAACGGGUGACGGGAAUCAGGGUUCGAUUCCGGAGAGGGAGCCUGAGAAAUGGCUACCACAUCCAAGGAAGGCAGCAGGCGCGCAAAUUACCCCACUCUCGACACGAGGAGGUAGUGACGAAAAUACAAUACAGGACCUUUACGAGGCCCUGUAAUUGGAAUGAGUACACUUUAAAUCC